AAUGCGAUAAGUAAUGUGAAUUGCAGAAUUCAGUGAAUCAUCGAAUCUUUGAACGCACAUUGCGCUCGCCAGCAUUCUGGCGAGCAUGCCUGUUCGAGCGUCAUUUCAACCCUCAAGCACCGCUUGGUUUUGGGGCCCCACGGCACACGUGGGCCCU
rnacentral:rRNA from 1 species